rnacentral:lncRNA from 1 species
AAAACCCUAUCUCUCUCUCUCGCUCGCUUCGACCGCUCUCCUUCCUCCGCCGCCUGCACGCAGACCGGACUCGAGCCCUAAUCCGCUCUGCUUCUUCUCCUCUCGGUAAGCCCUAAUCCGCUCCCUUCCCCUUCCCUCUUAUUGGUCUGCGUCGUGAAAUUUCGAAUCCUCAUCCUUCCCCGAGUCCGAUGACGAGAGGGACGGCGUUCUUGAGAGCCCUGCUAGCUGCUCUAGUGUAGUGUAGGCUACCGAGAUGCAUGCUGCAUGCAUCCGCCGCUCCCCUGCUUUACAGUGUUUGCCGCAUCCGCCGUUUAUUUGUCGCAUAUGGAUUGGGUGAAAUUUUCAUUUUUUCCAUUGUUCCACACACAAGUCUGCGUAGACUGUACUGCUUCUCGCGGAAGAAAUUCGUCAUGUAAAGAUCGGUGAUGCAUAGCAGUUGUUGUUGUAUGUAUCUAUGUCCUCACACCACAGAAUCUAAUAAUAAGUUACACAACUUUGUUUUUUGAAAUCUUGUUUUGUUUAUAUGCAUGAAUAAGACAACAGUAACGCAAUAAACAGCAAAGAUAGUCCAAAAUCGUUAUAUGCGUUGGGCAACCUUUGUGGCUACAUCUCUCUUGUGUUGCUUCUUUGGCCUUACCUGUUGCAACUAGUGUCGACGUUUCUUUUUAUGUAAAUAAAAGCUGGACGGAAGCAUCAAGAUUAGAAUCGUUUACAAGCCUGCACAUUCUGUUUUCCAGUUAAAAUCAAUGCGUUGUAGCGUAGCAACUCUCAAGGGUGCUCUCUAGCUUCCCUGACGGUGAGUCUUGUGGGGUGCUUUGGCAUUUGCCUGCUAGCUGUUGGUUCUAUUCUAGAAAGUGUUAGUAAGUUAAUUGAGAACUUUAUGUUUACUUUUCGGUGAUGAAGCUAUGCCGUUUCUCUUUCCAAUUGUAGCCCAAGUUGCCGCACCUGCAUCAUGCUUUUACUAACAUGAGAAUGAAAUCUUCCAUUAGCAAUUAAUUGGCACAUUAAUUACUUACUGUCACAGAGAUGCCUUCGUAGAAUCCUUUACUAACAUGAAAAUCAAAUCCUUCACAGACCGCCUUCCAGAAUGCCCCCGAAGAAGCGACUGCACACGUCGCCCGCUGUUCCCAAGCUGGAAGACAAUGUAGAGGAAGCUGCUCCUGCUGUCUCUACAUCUGUCACGGAAGUUAGCAUGCGUGGUGAGUUUUACCGGCUCCUGCUUGCAGUGUGCAUGAAUGCAUGAUGCAUACGCAUCACAUUCUUUGUUCUCUGCGGGGUCGUUGAGUGGCUUGCGUGUUUGAUGGACUUGGCAGAUCCCAAGGAGGAAGUUGGUGACAGGGGCGAGGACAAAAAAGAUGACAGUGCUGACAU